rfam:Citrus clementina cultivar Clemenules unplaced genomic scaffold scaffold_9, whole genome shotgun sequence.
UCGAGCCGGAUGAUGAAAAAUUAUCAUGUCUGGUUCUUGAGGGGGAUGGAUCUAUAAAAAUUCGCCUAUCCCAAU